UGAGGAAUAUUGCGCAAUGGGCGAACCCUCGACGCAGCAACGCCGCGUGAAGGAUGAAGGUUUUCGGAUUGUAAACUUCUUUUAUCAAGGACGAAGGACGUGACGGUACUUGAUGAAUAAGCCACGGCUAACUACGUGCCAGCAGCCGCGGUAAUACGUAGGUGGCAAGCGUUAUCCGGAUUUACUGGGUGUAAAGGGCGAGUAGGCGGGCAGACAAGUCAGAUGUGAAAUCUGGGGCUUAACCCCAAACUGCAUUUGAAACUGUAGGUCUUGAGUGAUGGAGAGGCAGGCGGAAUUCCCGGUGUAGCGGUGGAAUGCGUAGAUAUCGGGAGGAACACCAGUGGCGAAGGCGGCCUGCUGGACAUUAACUGACGCUGAGGAGCGAAAGCGUGGGGAGCAAACAGGAUUAGAUACCC
rnacentral:rRNA from 1 species